CGGGGGAGUUUGCUAGAACUUGGGAUAACCUGGCGGGAGCGCCUAUUGCUGGGGGAUGAUCUGGACGCACAGCGAAGCAAACCAACCAUUAAUAGAACGGACCCCGCGGCCGACCUGCCCUCCACGCCGCCGACCAGCUUGUCCCCCCACGGCGCGCAGCACGCCAGAGCGCAGCACAGCAGAUCCAGACAUCUCCCCGAGUCCUCCCAGGGGGGAAGAAGAAGAAGAAAAAUCCAG